UACGGAGGGUGCAAACGUUGCUCGGAAUCAUUGGGCGUAAAGCGCACGUAGGCGGCGCGUAAGUCGGAUGUGAAAGCCCCGGGCUCAACCCGGGAAGUGCAUACGAAACUGGCGCGCUUGAAUAUGGAAGAGGGUCGCGGAAUUCCCGGUGUAGAGGUGAAAUUCGUAGAUAUCGGGAGGAACACCAGUGGCGAAGGCGGCGACCUGGGCCAAUAUUGACGGCUGAGGUGCGAAAGCGUGGGGAGCAAACAGG
rnacentral:rRNA from 1 species